rnacentral:rRNA from 1 species
UACGUAGGGUGCGAGCGUUAAUCGGAAUUACUGGGCGUAAAGCGUGCGCAGGCGGUUUUGUAAGACAGAGGUGAAAUCCCCGGGCUCAACCUGGGAACUGCCUUUGUGACUGCAAGGCUUGAGUGCGGCAGAGGGGGGUGGAAUUCCACGUGUAGCAGUGAAAUGCGUAGAGAUGUGGAGGAACACCGAUGGCGAAGGCAGCCCCCUGGGCUAACACUGACGCUCAUGCACGAAAGCGUGGGGAGCAAACAGG